UCCCAGCAGGUCAUGGAAGCUGGCCGAGCACCUGGCCACAGCCGCUGAGCUCAGGAGCGAGAGUCCGAGGGCCAGACCUGGGCAAGAAGGGGUCCGUCACCCAGAGGGCCAGGGUGCAGGCUGCCCCCGCCCAGACGCACCCAAGGCCUCUCACAGGACGAGUGGGGUGGGGACUCCCAGAUGCCCCACCCUCAGAGGGGGCAGUGCCCCCGAGCCGGCGGCGCCCUCCCUGUCUGGUCCCCUGGCAGGUCCGCGAACCCUUGCCGUGCCCUCAGCCUGGGGGCUGCCCAGGGUCCAGGUUCAGCGCUGCCCCGUGGGCCCGGGAUACUGUGUCCAGUGGGGGGCGGGCUUAGCACCCUCCCUGCCCCCCCACCCCCGGCCCGGCAGCCACGUGGUAGGAAGGGGCCCUGGCGCAAUGUCCCGGAAGGCGGUGACAGCGGGCGCUGCUGCUGGGGAGGGUGGCCUGCACCUCUGUCCCCAGCCUGCCUGGGCACUGGGCAGCAGAUGUGACCGCUGUGGCCAUGAGGAAGGGACAGAGCAAUGUGCACGACCGCCCACGUGACCCACAGACAAGCGGAACCAGCACCCAUGUCCUGAUGGGGGUGAGCACAGCAACGUAUGUGGCCCUCCCGGAAAUAUUACUGAGCCAUGAAAAAGAGUAGGAUGCCGAUACCCACUUCUGCCUGGCACAUCCCAAGCACACUGUGCUGAGCCUCAGACACCACAGAUCAUGUGCCCGACAUCUCCUAGGAAAUGGGCGGAGUGGGCGAUUCCUAGAUGGUGUGGCGGGAGGCUGCCAGGCCUCAUAAAAGAGAAGCAAGUGGCUA